rnacentral:lncRNA from 1 species
CAGAUAAUCCUUGCUUAGGCCUACGGACAAAUUCAGCAACACAAACCGGAAGAACAUUUCCCCUAAUCAAAUAUCAAAAGCUAGGUUCUUGAUUUUCCGUACGAUAAGGAUCCUGAUUUGUAUAUCAAUCAGCCUGGCUCUGAUACCAAUUGUUAGGUCCAAAGUAUCGUAGAAGGGGGGGUUGAAUACGAUACUCACUACAAUUUAAAAUUCUUUCGAAUUUUGCGGAUAAAUAAAUUGUAGUCCUGUAAUGGGUUUCGUGUUCCGAAUAUAUAUCGGGUCAGUUUCUGAGGAUAUGAAAAUAUUAAACCAACACACAAUAUUUUCCAAGGUAUAUCUGUAUAUUGAUAAAUACCUCGAAGGUGCUAUAAAUCC